GUGCUCGCUCAGCAGCACAUAUACUAAAAUUGGAAAGCUACAGAGAAAAUUAGCAGGGCCCUUGUACAAGGAUGACACACAAACUCAUGAAGCGUUCCACAUUUUA